AUUGAACGCUGGCGGCAGGCCUAACACAUGCAAGUCGAACGAGUGGCGGACGGGUGAGUAAUGUCUGGGAAACUGCCCGAUGGAGGGGGAUCACUACUGGAAACGGUAUCUAAUACCGCAUACCAUCGGAUGUGCCCAGAUGGGAUUAGCUUGUCGGUGAGGUAACGGCUCACCUAGGGGACGAUCCCUAGCUGGUCUGAGAGGAUGACCAGCCACACUGGGACUGAGACACGGUCCAGACUCCUACGGGAGGCAGCAGUGGGGAAUAUUGGACAAUGGGCGAAAGCCUGAUGCAGCCAUGCCGCGUGUAUGAAGAAGGCCUUCGGGUUGUAAAGUACUGUCAGCGGGGAGGCGGUACCCGAAGAAGAAGCAACGGCUAACUCCGUGCCAGCAGCCGCGGUAAUAC
rnacentral:rRNA from 1 species